rnacentral:rRNA from 1 species
UUCGGUUGGUUUGAGAGCGGCGCACGGGUGAGUAACGCGUACGUAACCUGCCCUUCAGUGGGGAAUACGGCGGGAAACUGGGAUUAAUGCCCCAUGGUACUUUCGAUCUGCCUGGAUUGAAAGUUAAAGCUUCGGCGCUGAAGGAUGGACGUGCGUCUGAUUAGCUGGUUGGUGAGGUAACGGCUCACCAAGGCGACGAUCAGUAGGGGGCAUGAGAGCGUGACCCCCCACACGGGUACUGAGACACGGACCCGACUCGGGGGGGAUGCAGCAGUAAGGGAUAUUGGGCAAUGGAGGCAACUCUGACCCAGCCAUCCCGCGUGCAGGAAGACGGCCCUACGGGUUGUAAACUGCUUUUAUGAAGGAAGAAAGGUUGGCAUUUAUGCUGAUUUGACGGUACUUCAGGAAUAAGCACCGGCUAACUCCGUGCCAGCAGCCGCGGUAAUACGGAGGGUGCGAGCGUUAUCCGGAAUCACUGGGUUUAAAGGGUGCGUAGGCGGCCUGAUAAGUCAGAGGUGAAAGUCUGCGGCUUAACCGUAGAAUUGCCUUUGAUACUGUUGGGCUUGAGUCAGGUUGAGGUUGGCGGAAUGUGACAUGUAGCGGUGACAUGCAUAGAUAUGUCAUAGAACACCGAUUGCGAAGGCAGCUGACUGGACCUGAACUGACGCUGAGGCACGAAAGCGUGGGGAGCG